AUUCCCCUAGUAACUGCGAGUGAAGCGGGAAAAGCUCAAAUUUAAAAUCUGGCGGUCUUUGGCCGUCCGAGUUGUAGUCUGGAGAAGUGCUUUCCGCGCUGGACCGUGUAUAAGUCUCUUGGAACAGAGCGUCAUAGAGGGUGAGAAUCCCGUCUUUGACACGGACUACCAGUGCUUUGUGAUGCGCUCUCAAAGAGUCGCGUUGUUUGGGAAUGCAGCGCAAAAUGGGUGGUGAAUUCCAUCUAAAGCUAAAUAUUGGCGAGAGACCGAUAGCGAACAAGUACCGUGAGGGAAAGAUGAAAAGCACUUUGGAAAGAGAGUUAAACAGUACGUGAAAUUGCUGAAAGGGAAACGCUUGAAGUCAGUCGCGUCGUCCGGGACUCAGCCUUGCUUCGGCUUGGUGCACUUUCCGGAUGACGGGCCAGCAUCGAUUUUGACCGCUGGAAAAGGGCUGGAGGAAUGUGGCACCUUCGGGUGUGUUAUAGCCUUCAGUCGCAUACGGCGGUUGGGAUCGAGGAACGCAGCACGCCUUACGGCGGGGGUUCGCCCACCUUCGUGCUUAGGAUGCUGGCAUAAUGGCUUUAAACGACCCGUCUUGAAACACGGACCAAGGAGUCUAACAUGCCUGCGAGUGUUUGGGUGGAAAACCCGAGCGCGUAAUGAAAGUGAAAGUCGGGACCUCUGUCGUGGAGGGCACCGACGCCCGGACCUGACGUUCUCUGACGGAUCCGCGGUAGAGCAUGUAUGUUGGGACCCGAAAGAUGGUGAACUAUGCCUGAAUAGGGUGAAGCCAGAGGAAACUCUGGUGGAGGCUCGUAGCGAUUCUGACGUGCAAAUCGAUCGUCAAAUUUGGGUAUAGGGGCGA
rnacentral:rRNA from 1 species